rnacentral:misc_RNA from 1 species
GGAAACUGAUGUUGAUAAUGAAGAUGAAGAUGAAGACUAUGAUGAGGACUCUGAUGAUGUGCAUAAUGACUACCAUGAUGAUGAGACGGACAAUGAGGGUAGAGAUGAGAAGCAUAGCCAAAGAGUAAACUUGAGGAGAAGAGUUGAUGAUAGAAACUCAAUGACAAGAGAUGAUGAUAGGAAGCCUACCCGAAGAUUAUACUCAAGGACUAGAGAUUAUGAUAGGACUACUUCAGCUGCCUCACCGAGGACUAGAGG